AGUACAUCUGUCACCCGCCACCUCCCCCCUGCCUCCCCCGCCGCCGGGACCCACGGCCGCGCCAGCCUGGCCACGAGUGGGAGCGCGUCGCGACCGCCAGGGGCCGGGAGGCGACGGCCAGUUACAAGUGCGAGACUCCUGCGAGGUGCGGGCGGAGUCCAAGAAUUACCCCAAGGGAAUGCUGUGGUACUCCUUCUAAAGUAAGCAUUCCAACAGCAAUGAGAGUGGAAGACAGGGGAUGUAUUCAUUAGUGAACCGGUAGUCUCAGCAACAGUGAACCUUCAUCUGGUGAUGGAUGGAGACAGAAACAGAGACCCACACUGG